GAUGAACGCUGGCGGUAUGCCUUACACAUGCAAGUCGAACGAGAGUUUUUAACUCAAGUGGCGGACGGGUGAGUAACACGUAAGAAUUUGCCUUUAGGAGGGGGACAACAACUGGAAACGGUUGCUAAUACCCCAUAUGCUUUCGAGUGAAACGGUUUUUCCGCCUAAAGAGAAGCUUGCGCCUGAUUAGCUUGUUGGUAGGGUAACGGCCUACCAAGGCGACGAUCAGUAUCUGGUUUGAGAGGAUGAUCAGACACACUGGAACUGAGACACGGUCCAGACUCCUACGGGAGGCAGCAGUGGGGAAUUUUCCGCAAUGGGCGAAAGCCUGACGGAGCAAUACCGCGUGAGGGAUGACUGCCUAUGGGUUGUAAACCUCUUUUUUCA
rnacentral:rRNA from 1 species